GGGUUCGGUGACUCCACUGACUAAUUUCCACGUGAUGUGAUUAUUUGAAGGUGAUAUUGUUUGUGGGUGCUGAUGUGAUCCCAUAUGAUUGAUUAUUGGGUGUUCAUUCAGUAUACUAGGGUGCAUUUUGCUUGAUUGUAUGUGGUGUGUAUUAUUUAUUAUUAUUUACUGAGUUGCAAAACUCACCCCCCCAAUAAACCUCUCAGGUAUCUGGAAGCAGCGGAUUCAACUGAAGCUCUGCAAUCUUCUCCGCAGAGUUAUAAAUGUAAACUUUAUAUUUCUGUUAUUUAAUUUUGAAUGUAUAAAUUAUUCUAUUAUCAGAUUAUUUUUGAACUCCGCAGUUAUAAGAUUGUGUAUUUAAAUUGGGCCUUAUUGUUAGCACUACGCUAUAACUUAAUUAUUGUGUAAUUAACUGUAGGUAAACCAGUAAGCCCUUAUUGUGAUUACGAGUUAUUGUGAAUAGGCCCUGGUUAAAUUUUAUGUAUUAUUUGAUAUUGGGUCAGAUGUUUGAAAAUUUUAUAGAACUUAUAUCUUAAGUCAUAUGGGCUUACUGUUUUGUUGAAAUUAGGAGAAUCAUAUAGACAGAUUGAAUAAUUUAGGCUUACUAAGGGCUUCGGGGGCCUUAAGCUUACCUGGGCUCUAGUGCCGGUUCGGCCCACGGAAACGGGUCGUGACACUAUUAAAUUGCCUUUGUCAGUUUUCCUUUAUGAUAAAUGAUAAACGUCAUAUUUUUCAAUUGUUUUGUAUUUUAAAGAACGAC
rnacentral:lncRNA from 1 species